CCAAUAGCGUAUAUUAAAGUUGUUGCAGUUAAAAAGCUCGUAGUUGAAUUUCGGGAUCGAAUUGUUGGUCGUGCUUCGGUACGCACUGGCAUUAUCGGUUCCUACCUUCUGAAGAACCGCGAUGUCAUUAAUUUGGUGUCGUGGGGAAUCAGGACUGUUACUUUGAAAAAAUUAGAGUGUUUAAAGCAGGCUUACGCUUGAAUACAUUAGCAUGGAAUAAUGAAAUAGGACGUUUGAUUCUAUUUUGUUGGUUUCUAGGAUCGACGUAAUGAUUAAUAGGGAUAGUUGUGGGCAUUAGUAUUCAAUUGUCAGAGGUGAAAUUCUUGGAUUUAUUGAAGACUAACUACUGCGAAAGCAUUUGCCAAGGAUGUUUUCAUUAAUCAAGAACGAAAGUUAAGGGAUCGAAGACGAUCAGAUACCGUCGUAGUCUUAACCAUAAACUAUGCCGACUAGGGAUCGGAUGAUGUUAAUUUUAUAAUGACUCAUUCGGCGCCUUACG
rnacentral:misc_RNA from 1 species